rnacentral:rRNA from 1 species
UUUAUUGAGAGUUUGAUCCUGGCUCAGGAUGAACGCUGGCGGCGUGCUUAACACAUGCAAGUCGAACGGGAAUUACAUUUUAGCUUGCUAAGUUGUAAUUCUAGUGGCGGACGGGUGAGUAACG